rnacentral:pre_miRNA from 7 species
AACUAGAGACACUGUGUAAGACUCCCUUCCGGGGAUCCCCACUCUAGUCUCAGGAGAGAGAGCACACCCAAAGAAACAUGAAAAUCC